CAGCCGCCGCGGUAAUACGUAGGGUGCAAGCGUUAAUCGGAAUUACUGGGCGUAAAGCGUGCGCAGGCGGUUUUGUAAGACAGAGGUGAAAUCCCCGGGCUCAACCUGGGAACUGCCUUUGUGACUGCAAGGCUAGAGUACGGCAGAGGGGGAUGGAAUUCCGCGUGUAGCAGUGAAAUGCGUAGAUAUGCGGAGGAACACCGAUGGCGAAGGCAAUCCCCUGGGCCUGUACUGACGCUCAUGCAAGAAAGCGUGGGGAGCAAACAGGAUUAGAUACCCGUGUAGUCCCUGUCUCUUAUAC
rnacentral:rRNA from 1 species